AUGGAGGUAUAGAUGGAGAGAUAGAGAUGGAGAGGUAGAGAUGGAGGUAUAGAUGGAGGUAGAGAUGGAGAGGUAGAGAUGGAGGUAUAGAUGGAGAGGUAGAGAUGGAGAGGUAGAGAUGGACGUAGAGAUGGAGAGGUAGAGAUGGAGGUAGAGAUG